rnacentral:rRNA from 1 species
UACGUAGGGUGCAAGCGUUGUCCGGAAUUAUUGGGCGUAAAGGGCUCGUAGGCGGUCCAUCACGUCGGGAGUGAAAAGCUGGGGCUUAACCCCAGUCCUGCUUCCGAUACGGGUGGACUAGAGGUAGGCAGGGGAGAACGGAAUUCCUGGUGUAGCGGUGAAGUGCGCAGAUAUCAGGAGGAACACCGGUGGCGAAGGCGGUUCUCUGGGCCUUACCUGACGCUGAGGAGCGAAAGCGUGGGGAGCAAACAGG